GGAGAGAAGGCGACUGUGUUUCCGAUCGGGUUUCCGAUUCCGGUGACGGCGGCGAGCGUGAAUGGUACUGGAAGCAUCCUCUCGUCCUCGUGGUCUUCCCUAUGUCCUCAGUUUCUUCAGAAGAGGUCGGGAGAGAGAGAUUCGAAGUGGAGAAGGAGAGGCUGGGUUCGCCGGCGAGUUUCCGAUUCCGGCCAAGUCGAGGUUUCUCACUGGUAUGAAUAGCUUCAUGUCGGUCUCGGGAACCUUUCCAUGUUGGUGGUUUUCGAAGAGAAGCUCGGAGGAGGGAGAAUCGAAGAGGAGAAGUUUCUGAAUUUUCCGGCGAGGGUUCGACGGAUUCCGGUGAAGCUUGAUGUCGACUCAGGUAUUAAAGUUGGUCUAUUCGAUGAGCUUUACAUGUUUCUAUAAUUGAAAUUGAGAUUGGUUGGGUGUUGGAGAAGUGGGAUUUUGGACAGGUUGUCGACCACCGUGUACGGCGGCGGCGGCGGUUGUUCUUGUAGUUUCUGGCUUUUGUUAAUACAUUGAUUGUGGAGGAGUGUUUUGAGAUGUAUUAGAAUUGCAGGAACAUGAGAAUUGUAUGAAGUUGGGUUUUGAGCAGUGUGGUGUGUGGCCACUGUUCACGGCGGCUAUGGUGGUGUUUUGAAAUCAGAAGACUUGUGUGAGGGAGAGGUUGAAGAUGUGUAUUAUGUUUGGUAUGAGUGUUCAUUCAAUUGGCUUUGGUAUUUGAGAGCAGGGUGCUACGAAUAUCUUGGUUUUGUGAUCAAAGUUGAAGUAAAGCAUAUAUGUUUGUAUGGUUGUGAGAUAUGGUGGUAACUGCAGCAAUGGAUAGUUGAUCAAGGUUCACAUGAUCUUGGAACAAAUGUCCAGUCGAUAACUUUAAGAUGUAAUUGGUAUUGCUAUGCUUGAACAAUUGUGUUUCGGUGGAUUGAAGAUUUGCCGGAAGGUGUGUAGUAAGAUGGGUGUCCAAAGUAAUUGAUGGAGACUGGUGUGUUCUCUUUUGAAUUAUUGUUAGAGAAAGAUGAUUAGAGGAGUUGGGUGUAAUGAACGUUAAGUUGGCUUUGCUGGGUUGUUGUGGAGUCUUAAGAGCAGUAUGGGUACGGGAACAGAAGAAUUGGAUUUUCAUUACUUUCAUAUGGAUUUGAUGUGUUGCUGGGGAGUAGGAAACAGUAAAGGAUUUAGGUUUGGUCAUGUCUGGGUUCGUUGAUAAGUUGUUAUGCCUACAAUUAAGACAUGAGAAGAUUGAUCAAGUUUGAGAUAGGCAAAUAUAAAGGAUUUAGUAGAAAAGAGGAAUUGGGUGUAGAGAGUAAAUUCGGUGCUUAGCUUGGUGCUUGGAGCAUGGUUGGGAUACGACUAAUUAUGGGUGGCGUGUGAUUUGGUAAUUGUCGGAAAAGGUGAGCGGAAUUGGAAAUAAAGAUUUUGAUCGUUUCUAAUUAAAGUGUUUGCCGACUUUAUUGGAACAAGGAUUUGAUGUGAGGGAGCAUGUUGCAAUCCGAGGAGCAGAAUGAUAAGGAUUUCAAAAUGCGUGCCGCGGUGUUAUUAAUUUUAGUAAGCGUCGGAGUCAAGGCUUGGAUUCCAGGUACGUUUGAGGACACGUUUUUCUAGAAGCGUAACUGUGAAGUUUAGCUGACGUGUACGAGAGUAGAAGAGUUACAGAAGAUUAGAAGUCAGAUAGAUCGUAAGGGCUUAUCUUUUUGUCUUUGUAAUUGUUUUUUGUUAUUGUAAACGUUUUAUUUUCUUUUAUUUCUGGAAAAGUAUUUGAAAUUGUUUUAUUUUCUUUUACUUUUCCCGCUCAUGUCUCGGGUACGGCGUCAGGUGCUUGGAAACCACCGACACCGGGUCCGGGGUUUGAUGUAUGGACUAGCCAGUAAUUGAGGAAGACAUUCAUUAGCAUACAUGUAUCAAAUUGUCGUUAUUUAUUUAAAGUAUUAUUUGAUGUUUGAUC